rnacentral:rRNA from 1 species
UACGGGGGGGGUAAGCGUUGUUCGGAAUUACUGGGCGUAAAGGGCUCGUAGGCGGCCAACUAAGUCAUACGUGAAAUCCCUCAGCUUAACUGGGGAACUGCGUGUGAUACUGGAUGGCUUGGAUUUGGGAGAGGGAUGCGGAACUCCAGGUGUAGCGGUGAAAUGCGUAGAUAUCUGGAGGAACACCGGUGGCGAAGGCGGCAUCCUGGACCAAUAUUGACGCUGAGGAGCGAAAGCCAGGGGAGCAAACGGG